UCCAUCUCAGCUCAGUGGUAGAGCGCGUCACUAGUACCGUCGUUAGACUUGUAUGACGAGGUCAGUUGUUCAAGUCGGCUAGAGGAAA